CCUACGGGAGGCAGCAGUGGGGAAUAUUGCACAAUGGGGGAAACCCUGAUGCCGCGACGCCGCGUGAGUGAAGAAGUAUUUCGGUAUGUAAAGCUCUAUCAGCAGGGAAGAAGAAAGACGGUACCUGACUAAGAAGCCCCGGCUAACUACGUGCCAGCAGCCGCGGUCAUACGUAGGGGGCACGCGUUAUCCGGUUUUACUGGGGGUAAAGGGAGCGUAGACGGCUGUGAAAGUCUGAAGUGAAGGCCCAGGUCUAAACCCUGGAACUGCUUGGAAACCGUGGAGCUAGAGUGCUGGAGAGGUAAGUGGAAUUCCUAGUGUAGCGGUGAAAUGCGUAGAUAUUAGGAGGAACACCAGUGGCGAAGGCGGCUUACUGGACAGUAACUGACGUUGAGGCUCGAAAGCGUGGGGAGCAAACAGGAUUAGAUACCCCAGUAGUC
rnacentral:rRNA from 1 species